rnacentral:rRNA from 1 species
UCCCUACGGGGCGCAGCAGUGAGGAAUAUUGGUCAAUGGUCGGGAGACUGAACCAGCCAAGCCGCGUGAGGGAGGAAGGUACAGAGUAUCGUAAACCUCUUUUGCCGGGGAGCAAAGUGCCGCACGUGUGCGGUUUGGAGAGUACCCGGAGAAAAAGCAUCGGCUAACUCCGUGCCAGCAGCCGCGGUAAUACGGAGGAUGCGAGCGUUAUCCGGAUUUAUUGGGUUUAAAGGGUGCGUAGGCGGACGCUUAAGUCAGCGGUAAAAUUGCGGGGCUCAACCUCGUCGAGCCGUUGAAACUGGGUG